rnacentral:rRNA from 1 species
GAUUCAUAAUAACUAAACGAAUCGCAUGGCCUUGCGCCGGCGAUGGUUCAUUCAAAUUUCUGCCCUAUCAACUUUCGAUUGUAAGAUAGAGGCUUACAAUGGUCUUAACGGGUAACGGGGAAUUAGGGUUCUAUUCCGGAGAAGGAGCCGGAGGAACGGCUACUACAUCCAAGGAAGGCAGCAGGCGCGCAAAUUACCCAAUGCUGAUCCAGCGAGGUAGUGACAAUAAAUACUGAUACGGGGCUCUUUCGGGUCUCGUAAUUGGAAUGAGUACAAUCUAAAUCCCUUAACGAGGAACAAUUGGAGGGCAAGUCUGGUGCCAGCAGCCGCGGUAAUUCCAGCUCCAAUAGCGUAUAUUAAAGUUGUUGCCGUUAAAAAGCUCGUAGUUGAACCUUGGACCUGGCUGAUCUGUCCUCCUAAUCGAGCGCACGGAUUCGGUCGGGUCUUUCCUUCUGGGGAGCCCUAUGCCCUUCACUGGGUGUAGUGGGGAACCAGGACUUUUAC